rnacentral:rRNA from 1 species
UACAGAGGUCCCAAGCGUUGUUCGGAUUCACUGGGCGUAAAGGGUGCGUAGGCGGUCGGGUAAGUCUGAUGUGAAAUCUCACAGCUUAACUGUGAAACUGCAUUGGAUACUAUCCGGCUCGAGGAAUGGAGGGGAGACUGGAAUACUUGGUGUAGCAGUGAAAUGCGUAGAUAUCAAGUGGAACAUCAGUGGCGAAGGCGAGUCUCUGGACAUUUCCUGACGCUGAGGCACGAAAGCCAGGGGAGCAAACGGG